GACGAACGCUGGCGGCGUGCUUAACACAUGCAAGUCGAACGGAAAGGCCCUGCUUUUGUGGGGUGCUCGAGUGGCGAACGGGUGAGUAACACGUGAGUAACCUGCCCUUGACUUUGGGAUAACUUCAGGAAACUGGGGCUAAUACCGGAUAGGAGCUCCUGCUGCAUGGUGGGGGUUGGAAAGUUUCGGCGGUUGGGGAUGGACUCGCGGCUUAUCAGCUUGUUGGUGGGGUAGUGGCUUACCAAGGCUUUGACGGGUAGCCGGCCUGAGAGGGUGACCGGCCACAUUGGGACUGAGAUACGGCCCAGACUCCUACGGGAGGCAGCAGUGGGGAAUAUUGCACAAUGGGCGGAAGCCUGAUGCAGCAACGCCGCGUGCGGGAUGACGGCCUUCGGGUUGUAAACCGCUUUCGCCUGUGACGAAGCGUGAGUGACGGUAAUGGGUAAAGAAGCACCGGCUAACUACGUGCCAGCAGCCGCGGCGAUACGUAGGGUGCGAGCGUUGUCCGGAUUUAUUGGGCGUAAAGGGCUCGUAGGUGGUUGAUCGCGUCGGAAGUGUAAUCUUGGGGCUUAACCCUGAGCGUGCUUUCGAUACGGGUUGACUUGAGGAAGGUAGGGGAGAAAUGGAAUUCCUGGUGGAGCGGUGGAAUGCGCAGAUAUCAGGAGGAACACCAGUGGCGAAGGCGGUUCUCUGGGCCUUUCCUGACGCUGAGGAGCGAAAGCGUGGGGAGCGAACAGGCUUAGAUACCCUGGUAGUCCACGCUGUAAACGGUGGGUACUAGGUGUGGGGUCCAUUCCACGGGUUCCGUGCCGUAGCUAACGCUUUAAGUACCCCGCCUGGGGAGUACGGCCGCAAGGCUAAAACUCAAAGGAAUUGACGGGGCCCCGCACAAGCGGCGGAGCAUGCGGAUUAAUUCGAUGCAACGCGUAGAACCUUACCUGGGUUUGACAUGGAUCGGGAGUGCUCAGAGAUGGGUGUGCCUCUUUUGGGGUCGGUUCACAGGUGGUGCAUGGCUGUCGUCAGCUCGUGUCGUGAGAUGUUGGGUUAAGUCCCGCAACGAGCGCAACCCUUGUUCACUGUUGCCAGCACGUUAUGGUGGGGACUCAGUGGAGACCGCCGGGGUCAACUCGGAGGAAGGUGGGGAUGACGUCAAGUCAUCAUGCCCCUUAUGUCUAGGGCUUCACGCAUGCUACAAUGGCUGGUACAGAGAGUGGCGAGCCUGUGAGGGUGAGCGAAUCUCGGAAAGCCGGUCUCAGUUCGGAUUGGGGUCUGCAACUCGACCUCAUGAAGUCGGAGUCGCUAGUAAUCGCAGAUCAGCAACGCUGCGGUGAAUACGUUCCCGGG
rnacentral:rRNA from 1 species